rnacentral:misc_RNA from 1 species
UUCUUCUUCUUCUUCUUCUUCUAGCAAUAACAAUAAUAAUAAUACUGGUAUUAACUCUAAUUCUGUUCUUGUGGCGCUUCUUGACUCGCAUUAUACUGAAUUGGCUGAACUCGUUGAAAAGGCUCUUCUUCUUCAGACCCUUGAGGAAGCUGUCGGCAACCACAAUAUCACCAUUUUUGCGCCCAGAAAUGAAGCCUUGGAGCGUCAACUUGACCCUGAGUUUAAGCGUUUCUUGCUCGAACCUGGUAAUAUCAAGUCUCUCCAGACCCUCUUGAUGUUCCAUGUAAUUCCUAAACGGGUCGGAUCCAAUGACUGGCCCACUGAAAAAUCUAAGCCUUCUAGGCAUACCACUUUGUGCAAUGAUCAUCUUCACUUAAUCAGCAAGACUUCUGGUAAGAAACUCGUUGAAUCCGCCGAGAUUAUCCGAGCCGACGACGUUAUCCGCCCCGACGGUGUUAUCCACGGGAUCGAGCGCCUUCUUAUCCCGCAAUCUGUACAAGAAGACUUCAACCGGAGGAGAAAUCUCAGAUCCAUAUCCGCAGUGCUACCAGAGGGUGCGCCGGAGGUAGAUCCCAGAACCCACCGUUUGAAGAAACCAGCAGCACCUGUGCCGGCUGGGGCACCGCCAGUGCUACCCAUUUACGAUGCCAUGGCUCCAGGUCCUUCUCUGGCUCCGGCGCCGGCUCCAGGCCCCGGCGGACCUCACCAUCACUUUGACGGUGAAAGCCAGGUCAAGGACUUCAUCCAGACACUAUUACAUUACGGUGGGUACAAUGAACUGGCGGAUAUCUUAGUGAACUUAACCUCAUUGGCCACCGAAAUGGGGCGGCUGGUUUCAGAAGGAUACGUUCUCACCGUCUUGGCACCAAACGACGAAGCCAUGGCCAAGCUAACGACGGACCAGCUAAGCGAACCGGGUGCGCCGGAGCAGAUCAUUUACUACCAUAUUAUACCGGAGUACCAGACGGAAGAGAGCAUGUACAAUGCAGUAAGGAGAUUUGGGAAAAUAAAAUACGAUACGCUGCGUUUGCCUCACAAGGUCGUGGCUCAGGAGGCUGAUGGGUCGGUGAAAUUCGGAUCCGGGGAUACGUCGGCGUAUUUGUUCGAUCCAGACAUUUACACGGACGGCAGGAUUUCAGUGCAGGGAAUUGACGGAGUUUUGUUCCCGGAGGAAGAGAAAGAGACAGUUAAAAAACCGACCGCCGCCGUCAAGGUUGUCACCAAGCCCAGGAGAGGUAUGUUCUUUUUCUUGAUUCAUUAAUUUUUUCCACUUAUUUGCUUAAUUAUUAUUAAUUUGGCUAUAACGGACAAAUAUGAGCCUGUAAUUCUGUGUCGGUGCAGAUUAGGUUAGUGUGAAUAUUGGAUUAAGAUGGUUAAUCUUUUUGUUUAAGAAUAAUGAAGAUUAGUGUUAUUGCGAUAGAGAUUAGAUUAGCAAAGUUUUAGUAUAUGCGGUCAUCAUUGGUGCUUGGUGGUGGGACAGAGGGAAUACCCACUUUGCAAUUGUGUUCUUUUUAGCUUUUGAUGAGCUUGUCUAGGACUAAGCAUCCGCAACAGCUGGGCCUAGCGUGGCUCUUAAGCAUAAAAAGAACCCAAUUUCUGACUAAAAUCCUGGAUUACACCAUAUUAUUGACUAAACUUGGUGGAAGAUUAUACCUAAUCAUUUAUAAUCUGCGUUCCAAAACGGUGACGAAUUUGUCCUGUUUUUAGCAUGUUCAAGAACUUAAAUCUGUGAUCCCAAGUCAAUUUCUGCAUAAGUGCAACAGAAGCUUUGCAUGUGGAUGAAGAAGUUUCUUAAAUAAAUCUCAAUGAAUUCUAUGUUCCUUCUUGUCGCACGUACAAAAACAUGUGUGAUUGUAAUUGUAACCUGUUUAAUAGGGUUCCAUCAUGUGUUUUUGGUUCAAUGUCCAGAUCAAGAUUAGACAAGAAAAUUCCAUACUUUUAUCUCACCGACACCAAGGGUUUCGUAGUUGUGGUACACAUUCUCCUACUCCUGCCCCACUACAGCUAAGAUGCUAACAAAAGCUGGUCAAUAAUUAAGUUCAACACCUUAUUGCCAGCUGCAAUUUUUAUUUAUUUAUUAUAUGAUCUGUUCUAUCUUCUCUGUUUAGGAAACCCUAGUUUUAUAUUAAAGUGUGUGGUUAGGGCAUGGUUUGUUUAACAAUUAAUAAGCUUAAUUGGGUUGUUAAUUUUUCUUUAUUUUUUUGCUUGUUGUGGGUGGUGAUGUUGAUAUAUUGGCUGGAGUUGACUUAAAUUGUAAGGCUAAUUAAUUAUAUUUGGUAUGUGCAGGGAAGUUGAUGGAAGUAGCUUGUAGAAUGCUUGGAGCAUUUGGACAGGAUUCACAUUUCAGUACAUGUCAAUGAACCUGCACAGCUGAAAAAUAAUAGUAAAGAUGGAACCAUGAAAACAAUAGAGAAAAUGGUGAGUAUGUAAAAGACUUUGAUCUUGUUAAUUUUUUUUUACGAAUCAGAGGGUUGUUCGGCUGAUGAACACAUUGGAGGGUGAAUUUCAGGCGAAGGUCAUGGAUUCAAUAUGUGUGUGUUUCUUCAGGCGGUGAUUUUUAUUAUUAUUUUUUUGAUUGUAAUGUGCAUUGCAGGACGACUUUAUGUAAUAAAAUCACAAACAAAUGGGAUCGAUGGCUACGUUGUAUGAUUUCCCUCAGAAUCAAAUCCCACAUAAGAGAGAGAGAGAGUUUGUUGUUUAUUUUGUUAUAAUUACUGUAAUUACUUAUCAAUUUUUUUAUUAAUUUUCCUCCUUCCUUUCUUGUAUGAUUCACUGUCACUGUAUGCAUGAAUAGAACUUGGAAAAAGUAUUUUAAUCACGGGUUAUGUUCUUUUUUUGGCCUGUCUUGUGCAUCCAUUGCUUGUGAAUCAAAUUUAGAAAGAAUAUAUAUAUAUAUAUAUGUGGAAGUAGGCCUAUUCUUGGGUAAUAAGAUAAAAUUGUAGUAAUUGGGAAGGGUACAGGUUGUGCCAUGGAGAUUAAGACAGCCGGCCAAAGUAGCUGGUCCUUCACGUUGAUGCUUUUUGUUGCCAUGUAAAAAAAAUGAAUAA